rnacentral:rRNA from 1 species
UACGUAGGGACCGAGCGUUGUCCGGAUUCAUUGGGCGUAAAGAGCUCGUAGGCGGCUGCUCAAGUCGAAUGUGAAAACUCGAGGCUCAACCUCGAGCCUGCAUUCGAUACUGGGCGGCUAGAGUCUGGUAGGGGGAUCUGGAAUUCCUGGUGUAGCGGUGGAAUGCGCAGAUAUCGAUAGGAACUCCGGUGGCGAAGGCGGCAUACUGGAUCACUUCUGACGCUGAGGCGCGAAAGCCAGGGGAGCAAACGGG